UGGGGAAUUUUGGGCAAUGGGCGCAAGCCUGAUCCAGCCAUGCCGCGUGUGGGAAGAAGGCCUUCGGGUUGUAAACCACUUUUGUCAGGGAAGAAACGGCUCUUACUAAUAUUAGGAGCUAAUGACGGUACCUGAAGAAUAAGCACCGGCUAACUACGUGCCAGCAGCCGCGGUAAUACGUAGGGUGCAAGCGUUAAUCGGAAUUACUGGGCGUAAAGCGUGCGCAGGCGGCUUUGCAAGACAGAUGUGAAAUCCCCGGGCUCAACCUGGGAACUGCAUUUGUGACUGCAAGGCUAGAGUACGGUAGAGGGGGAUGGAAUUCCGCGUGUAGCAGUGAAAUGCGUAGAUAUGCGGAGGAACACCGAUGGCGAAGGCAAUCCCCUGGACCUGUACUGACGCUCAUGCACGAAAGCGUGGGGAGCAAACAGGAUUAGAUACCCGUGUAGUCCCUGAGCGGGCUGGCAAGGCGCAU
rnacentral:rRNA from 1 species